AAAACACCGGUUCCCGUACGAUUACCGAAGUUAAGCUUAAGCAACGUGGAGCCUGGUCAGUACCUAGAUGGGUGAUCGCUUGGGAAUACAAGGUGUUGUAAG